CCUUUCUCUUCCUCUGCACGCCCAACUAAAACGAUCCUAAAGCAAGCAGACGAUAGAACAGUUUCAGCACCAUGGACAGAUUCACUUCGGUUGCUGAUAUUAAAAAGAGCAACGUGAACUCAGAAAUGAUACUUAUCAUAUCUACUCAGAAAUGAUACAUAACAUAUAGCCAACAUGUUUAAGAAAACAUUUAUGAAUAUUAUGUUAUUUAAAUAUUAUGCUCCCCAUUACUCCUAAUUAUAAGCAGCUACCUGGUGGUAAUACAUUUUUUUAUUUUUUGUCAGACCAAGAAAUAUUUUACUAGGCAUAGGCAUAAAUAAUAGGCUAGAUAAAUUCGAGUAUUGGUACGUAACGAAACUCACGAAUAAUACAAAAAAUAUGACAGCUGUAUAAAAGCUGUAAAAAUAGCUUUUACAUUUUUUUGUGGAAUUAAGGAUGAUGCCGAGGAACAGUUCGAUUAAAAUUUUUGGCCAUCUUAAGAGCUGUGGAAGAAUACAUUACAAUAAAAUCAUUCAUGUGACCUGUAAUAUAAGAUAAUGGUUUCCCUUUUACUCGACAGGUGAAACAAUUAUUAUUGUCCAGCCUAUACCUAGUCCUGGUCCAGAAAUCUGCAGUGAAUCUAAACCAGAUGCAAAAUGACUUGCUCAGAUGUCCCUAUUUUGAUCCAGCCCAGUUCCACUGUCAACACCUCAGAGUCUAUGCAUUUCGCAGCCAGCCAGUCCAUGUACAACACCCAGAAAUGAGCCACCUGCCUGGUCCUGGUCCCGGUCAUUACUGAGGGUCCUGCUGAUGGACUCUAACGGCCCCUGAUGUAGUGUGCAAAACUCAUAUUGGUCAACCACUGCUUUUAGUUUUGCUAAAGCAAUUCAAGUAAUGAUAUUAGAUCCUAAUUCUGUCAUUUAUAUAAAUUUUUAUCCUUUUGUUACUUUUUUUUUUUUUGUAGGCUCAGAUGUCCCAUUUUGAUCCAGCCCAGUUCCACUGUCAACACCUCAGAGUCUAUGCAUUUCGCAGCCAGCCAGUCCAUGUACAACACCCAGAAAUGAGCCACCUGCCUGGUCCUGGUCCCGGUCAUUACUGAGGGGUCCUGCUGAUGGACUCUAAGGCCCCUGAUGUAGUGUGCUGACGGCAGGGCAUCACGGCACCAGGACUAAACUGUGCCACUGCGCCAUACCCUGACUCUGACCCACUGGAAUCGAGUGGCAGUUUGCCAAAAGACAAAGAAGCCUCUGCCAAUCUCAU
rnacentral:lncRNA from 1 species